UUCUCUGCAAAAGGGUUUAGGAAUUGGGCUGGGACUUUAAAGGUGACUGAUAGAAAGAAAGCUGGCUGAGAAGCCAGGAAGCCUUUUGGCAAUGAGCUGACUCAUGCUAAGCUGGUACCCAGCUGUGCAUAUCAAUAGAGACUAAUGAAUGGGUAUAAUUAGGUGGAAAGGGAAUUCCAGCCAGUUGGGGGGGGGGACUGUUUGCAUGUGAGAAACUGGAGCUGGCAAAAGGACCCUGAUGGCUUUCCUUUGCAGCACAAAGUGCUUGUAGUUACACCAGAUUGCUUGACAUCUGCUAGACGUGACACUGUCUUCUGGUACUCCAGUUCCCUUGGUUGCUGAGUAAAGGCAGGUGGACUUUUGCUGGAAACCAGCCAUGGAAUCACACUCACACUGCCUGCUGCCAGGAAUUCACCAACCAACCAAUGCCAAACAUGCCAAGAUUAAGGUGCGAACAGCAUGAUCACAGAAAACUGUAAGAGGAAG
rnacentral:lncRNA from 1 species